rnacentral:tRNA from 1 species
GACGAGGUGACCGAGCGGUUAAGGUGAUGGACUGCUAAUCCAUAGUUCAUUGCACGCAAGGGUUCAAAUCCCAUCCUCGUCG